UGAAGAUAGAACAUCAAGUUCUGUUCACCAAGCCUGUCAUAAAGAACACUGCCUGCUGGAAAAACAUAGAUGGCAAAUGCUUCUACUCCUCCUUCCCUGGAGAAAAGGACUUUUUUAUGACCUUGAGUUUUGCUAACCUGUAACCCCAUGAAAAACAACUUGAUAACAAGGAAACAAAGAAAUGGUGAACUUUGCAAGUGUCAGUGUCUUGAACUUAUGGAGCUGAAUCACAGCCUCUUCAUUCUGGAAAGUGAUAGUUCAUAGAGAUGAUGAACAAUACAACUGUCUUCUCCAUUAAAGUAUUGAAAACCACAGCCUGAAAGCAGCCGCGAUUAAAUCACAAGCUCUCACCAUGGACUCAGUCGAAAAUUCUGAUUUAUAAGGUGAGAGAGGCCAAGUGACAAAGCAGCAGCCACCAAUUAUACCAGAGAAGUGGCAGUUGACUUAUCAUGCACUGUGUGUUUUGCUAAUAUGCAAUAAUAUUUAAGGAUCCAUGAACCAGCCCCAGAGUAAAAACGUACAAUUGACAGAGGCUUGACUGCUAUCUCUUCCCGUUUUUUUUUUUUUAUCUGCAAUAAUAUUCUCAUCAAAAUUCAGUGGCAAUUCUUAACAUUUUACUAGGAAAUUAAACUGAAGACCAGGUGAGUUGUUUCAGUAAAUUAGAAAUUGUAACAGUGCAUCAAUUUCCUUCCAUUUCUCUUGAAUCCAUACUGCUUUGUUAUUUUCAAGUUAAAAUCCUUUAUUUCUUUAACAGUUGUUUAUUCCCUUAUUCAUUACUACAAAAAUGUCUCAGACGCUAUAGAUAUAGAACCUAGUAAGAUGAGGCACCUGACCUCAAAGGGUUUUAAGCUAAUUGGGUAAAUCGAUAGUUAGUGUAAGUGCUACAUGAAAAAGCAAUUGUGCCCAAUGGCUCCUUUUCAAUAACUUUUGUCAAAUGUGACCCUUGGAACAUCAUGUCUAUAAGUUUACCUAAUUAGUUGGUGUGGGAUAAAAAAAAAUGAAAUUUCUAAAGCAUUAUUGUCAAUAGAUCCAUAAUAGUGGAUUUAGUGCCCUGAAAGUGCCCUCAGUUUUUAAAAACCUGAGGAAAGUCACUUUUACUAAGUCACUCAACCUUCCUAGCCCCACCUCUGCCACCUGAAAAAAUAUAGGGAACAAUUAUUGAACAAUCUCCUUUGACAGUUUUGCAGUUUUCUGACGAAUGGAUGCUUCCAAGUCCCCAUUGUUUACCAUCUCCUCAGACAGGACUCAGUUAAUGAAAUGGCUAAUUAGAUUUCUGUAAUCCUGGAGUCAUUGUGUGUGAGGUGACAUUUUGUCAGCAGUCCUCCUGUGGCUCCUUCAGUGUGAUAGGGAACAUUUUCCCUUAGCCAACUUGGCUUUAGUUGUUUUGCUGGAAUGGCAGUUCCCUCUGUUGGUGUAAUGAAAUCAUUGCCCUCACAAAUACAGCUCUGCUACUCAGCAUUUACAUAGAAAAGAAUAGGAAAAUGAUCAUCUGAUUAGUCAAACAGGCCCAUGUUCAAAAUCCAUUUCCACAAUCAAAUAA